rnacentral:lncRNA from 1 species
GGUUUAGGAUUUACAAUUUUAAGGUUUAUAGAGUAUGGAAUUAGGGAUUCUGGUUUAAGGGUUGUGAUUUAGGGGUUAGGGGUUAGGGAUUUGGGUUAGUGUUUAGGGUUUAGGGUUAAUUAGUGUUUUUAAAUUUAUAUAUUAAAUAAGGUUUAGGGGUUAGUAGUUAUGGGUUUGGGGUCUGGGGUUUAGGGUUUGAGGUUUAGGGUUAAGGGUUUAGGAUUUGGGGUUAGGGGUUAGAGGUUAAGAGUUAGUGAUUUAAGGUUUAGAGAUUCAAGGUCGGGUUAGGGUUUAAGGUUUAGAUUAAUUAGUAUUUUUUAAUUUAUAGAUUAGUUAAGUUUUUAUAUAAUUAUAAAAGAGGGGUUAGGGGUUUAGGGUUUAUGUUUUAUGAUUUAUGAUUUAGGAGAUAGGG